UACGCAGGGGGCUAGCGUUGCUCGGAAUCACUGGGCGUAAAGCGCGCGUAGGCGGAUUGCUAAGUCAGGGGUGAAAUCCUGGAGCUCAACUCCAGAACUGCCUUUGAUACUGGCGAUCUCGAGUCCGGGAGAGGUGAGUGGAACUGCGAGUGUAGAGGUGAAAUUCGUAGAUAUUCGCAAGAACACCAGUGGCGAAGGCGGCUCACUGGCCCGGUACUGACGCUGAGGUGCGAAAGCGUGGGGAGCAAACAGG
rnacentral:rRNA from 1 species